CUAGUGUCCUCGCGAAGGGUGCGGAGCACCCUAACUCGCACUCGCACUCGCACACGCUCGCGCGCGCGCGCGCGUGGCGUGGGCGAUGAGGCGCAAUGUGGCGCUUUGAUGGCGCACUUUGCACUUCGCACGCUCGCAUCGCCGCGAGCCGCUUGAGAGCCGCCUUUGUAUUUUUGACCGCGCGCGCGUGGUGAAGCACAAGGGUUGCAAGGACCAAGUGGUAGGUAAUGCGGCGCAUGACGUGGCAGUCAUGCGCAUGCGCGCGCGGAUACACGAGGCGCGCGGUUGGGAGCAUGGUGCAUGGGUCCUACUGUGCCGUGUGCGGCGCACCAGAGUGAGCCAAUACGGCGCGACUGUGUGGCGCGCACGUAUAGACUCACAGGUGACGUGGCGCACGCCGCACCGCUGCAUGGACGGACUUGAGCUGCACCGCCGCACGCCGCAUGGACGGACUUGAGCCGCACGCCGCACGGACGGACUUGAGCUGCACCGCCGCACGGC
rnacentral:lncRNA from 1 species